rnacentral:rRNA from 1 species
UACGGAGGAUGCAAGCGUUAUCCGGAACGAUUGGGCGUAAAGCGUCCGCAGGUGGCAGUUCAAGUCUGCUGUCAAAGACCGGGGCUUAACUUCGGAAAGGCAGUGGAAACUGAACAGCUAGAGUAUGGUAGGGGCAGAGGGAAUUCCUGGUGUAGCGGUGAAAUGCGUAGAGAUCAGGAAGAACAUCGGUGGCGAAGGCGCUCUGCUGGACCAUAACUGACACUCAGGGACGAAAGCUAGGGGAGCGAAUGGG